UACGGAAGGCAGCAGUGGGGAAUAUUGCACAAUGGGCGAAAGCCUGAUGCAGCUAUGCCGCGUGUAUGAAGAAGGCCUUAGGGUUGUAAAGUACUUUCAUCGGGGAGGAAAAAACAAAACUAAUAAUUUUAUUUCUUGACGUUACCCGAAAAAGAAGCACCGGCUAACUCCGUGCCAGCAGCCGCGGUAAUACGGGAGGGUGCUAGCGUUAAUCAGAAUUACUGGGCGUAAAGAGCACGUAGGUGGUUUUUUUAAACGUCAGAUGUGAAAUCCCUGGGCUUUAACCUAGGAACUGCAUUUUGAAACUGAAAUACUAGAGUAUCGUAGAGGGAGGUAGAAUUCUAGGUGUAGCGGUGAAAUGCGUAGAUAUCUGGAGGAAUACCUGUGGCGAAGCGGCCUCCUAAACGAAUACUGACACUGAGGGUGCGAAAGCGUGGGGAGCGAAACAGGGAUUAGAUAC
rnacentral:rRNA from 1 species